UUGUUAUUGUUGUUGUUGUUGUCGUUGUUGUCGUCGUCGUUGCUAUAGUUGUUGUUGUUGUUAUUGUUGUUGUUGUUGUUGUUGUUGUUGUUGUUGUCGUUGUUGUUGUUGUUGUUGUUGUUGUUGCUGCUGCUGCUGCUGCUGUCGCUUUUGUCGUUGUUGUCACAGUUCCCGAAACAAGAUCUAUUACAAACUCUACAUCUCUGUCAGGUGGAAUUCCUGGCAGUUCC
rnacentral:lncRNA from 1 species